GGGCGCAUGGUGUAGUUGGUUUAUCACGCCCGCUUAGCAGGUAUUAUUCCGCUCAUGCGGGAGGUCUUGAGUUCAAUUUUCAAUGCUUCCA